rnacentral:lncRNA from 1 species
UGCAUAUUGCUGUUACUACCAACAGAGGGCACAAGACAAGCUCCAUAGCCAAAUCCACCUAGUUGGUAGCAAACCUCAGCAGUACAGGAGAGCAGGCAAUACAUUUCACAGUACACACACACACAAACUAUAAACAAUUACAUUACACACACCCUGCACCUAUAUUGGGUAGAGGGUGACUAAAACAUAAGAGAAAUAACGCAACCUACAUAAAUAGUCUGUCUGGCGGUAGAAUAGGGGCUUUAAAGCCAAAUACAUCAAAGAGUCAUAGUCACAGGGGAGGAGGCUGGCAAGCAGGCCUCUCCAGGACCAAGUGGUGAAGGGCACUUUGUCACAGCUAGGUUCAGUGAGUUGACACUUUCCUUGGGGUUCCAUAGGUUCUCACAUAGUUUGGCUUGGUACUAUUGUGGUUGGACGGCAUGUGGAACACGAACAUAGAGUUCUUGUCCUAGGGUCAAUUUAUCAGCUUCUGCAAGGAGGAGAGCAACCGCAGCCAAUGUUCUCAGACAAGGGGAUAGACCUUGGGCCACUGAAACCUGUUAUUUGGUCAGGAUGGCAACAGGCCGCUACCAUGAGCCCAAGUACUGGGUGAGAACAGCAGAUUUCCUCUUCUCCUGAACAUACAGGUAAAACACUCUUUGGUGACCAGGAAGUCCAAGGCCUCCUUCAGGGUUCUGAAAGCCGUCUGUUUGCAAAUAUCCGUUGGCUCUGCAGUUCAAGGCAUAUACAGAAAAGGGCAUCCUUCAAGUCUAGGACAAUGAAAUAGGUGUCUCUUCCAGGUAUAAGGGCCAACAGGUUAUAGGGGUUAGGCACCACCAGGUGAAUUGUCAUGACUUCCUUGUUGACUGCCCUGAGGUCCUGAACAGGUCGGUAGUCUGCCAGGCCCACAAAGUCAUCUCCUCUACUGGCUCAGUCAUAAGUCUGAUCAGGGAGGCAAACCUCUCAUGUUGGGUGUAUGUCAGCCGUCUUCUGACUUCACAUCGUCUUUCUCUUCUUCACUUCAUAGUGUCUUGCUCAUCUGGUACUGUCUCUAGCGGACGGGGGACACGCCUGUUUCAGUUCAAUUUGGACCAGGGGCCUGUUUAGGGCAAGAACAGGGUUUUUUUUUUAUUUAUCCUGUAUACAUGGGGUGUUUAUGAUUCCUGGAGGUAGUGAGGGUGCAUCCAAAAGUGCCUUGACAACAAAUAACCUCAAUUCUACCUCUUUUGGGACAUAUACAGACAUGUGGGAGGUCAAGAGCUGUGUUACCAUUUGGAGGAAAUGUGACCUUAGCUAGGAGAUUAGACAUCUCUCCCUAGGAGUUGAAUGGCAUGUACAGAAACUGGUGUUGAAUGACAUGGCCUCAUAAAUUACAGGUUCUUUCUCGUAGCAAUAGUCUGGUGAUAAGCUUACCGGCGACCCCUACUAUAGUGACAGUCUGUCCAGAUGUGGAGCGAUGGUUUUAGUCACAACAGAGUGCUGGGCCUGAGUGUCAACCAUAAAGAUACUUUUCUUUCCCCUAACGGGGAACACAGGUGGUGUGGAUAUAACAGAUGAGGUAUACUCAGGGUAUUUAGAGGGUGUAUCUUAGGCAGGCAGGUCCUCUAGAGGAAGAGGAGGUCAGGUCAGGGUAUAUGGGGUGAUAUGGAUUAAUGAGCACCUUUCCUGUGUCACACUACACAGUUGAUUGAGUAAUGUCAGGAUGCUCUAUUAUAACAGCUGGCCUUUGAUCCUGAUUUGUAUCUUCUUCUUGUUUCCCCCCCUCUGCACUGCAAAUCCUGUUAACACCUUGUUGGGAAGUGUUUGUUUAAUCAAGUAACACCCUUUGACCAGCUAAUGCCAAAUGUGCUUUAAGUUCUUUGAAUAUGCAAUUGACAGGACAUGACUGUAUUAUGUGAAGACAAC